rnacentral:piRNA from 1 species
AUUCUGGUGGAUUUGGACUGU